UACGUAGGGGGCUAGCGUUGUCCGGAUUUAUUGGGCGUAAAGAGCGUGUAGGCGGCCAUGUAGGUCGGGUGUGAAAACUCGAGGCUUAACCUCGAGAUGUCAUCGGAAACCAUUUGGCUAGAGUCCGGAAGAGGAGAGUGGAAUUCCUGGUGUAGCGGUGAAAUGCGCAGAUAUCAGGAAGAACACCAAUGGCGAAAGCAGCUCUCUGGGACGGUACUGACGCUGAGACGCGAAAGCGUGGGGAGCGAACAGG
rnacentral:rRNA from 1 species